AACGAGCAAGCAAAGAGUCAUACCUUUCUUUCCCUUGGCAGACAGGAAUAUUGAACUGAGAAGCCUGCCAGACUGGCAAUCCAGGAAAACUAGAUUUCAGCAAUGUCGGGGAGAGUGAAGGACCCUGGUUUCCUCCUGAGUCAGCCUCUUUGUACUCCUGUGACAACUUACUUCAUCUGUCCCAGCUUCAAUGCCCCAUCUGUGAACGGAGAGCGAUGACAAGCACCUCCCAGGUGUUUGUGAAGAUUAGAGUGACAAAUAAGCAUAGUGGUUGGCACAAAGUAGUUUCCAAAAUGAUUCUUGAACACAGGGGUGAAGACGAGAGACACUAUGCAUUAAUAGAGGAAGACAUCCUUGAAAGGGAGAGAUGCUUCGUGAAGAAGAUCCAGGGAGGCUCUUUAAUGCAGAUGAAAGGGAGAGACGGAUUUAAAGAAGUAGCUUCCAAAGCUAAAUUCGCAGACCACGGACGUGGACGUUGUCAUUUCCCAUGGAAGGAAGCUGUGUGGUCAACUGACGUUGCUAACCAACUGCUAACCAGAUUCACUGAAGUAUUCCUCGUCUGUGGCUCCGUUACAUCUCUAUCUGGGAAUCCUUCUCUAGAGCUAUCAUUUAUGUAUUCAUUCCACUACUAUUAAUUGAGGGCUGUUAUUCGCCAGGCACCAUUUUGGGCACUUUGAAUACAGAAGUGAACAAGACAGCUUUCACGGACAGACUAAAGAAAGGGGAAUAAUAAAGAAUGACAAUAGGCACAUACGGACUGUGAUACCAACCAGACGUCAGGGGGCCUGGGGGCCUGGAGAAGGAGCACCCAUCCAGACUUUAUCCAGAAAGGGAUGGUCAGGGAGGGCUCCCUGAAAAGGGCUCCAUGACAUCUCAACUGAGACUCGAGUUAGCGGGGUGAAGAAGGGAGGAGAGAGCUUGAGGCUGGACAUGACAAGAUGUGACAAAAUGGCGGAAACACAAUCACUGCUUAAAACACGCAUGUUCCUCUCAGGGAUGAGGGAGAAGACAGACAUCUGCCCAAAGACAUUAAGGAAGGAGGCUGUAGAAACCAUACAGAAAGUAUACUGUGCGCCAUUGCACACCCAGGUGCAAUGGCAAGCUCAAGGAGAAAUGAGAAAGAAUGCUGUUUGCAUCUGAAAUUUUCUUCCACAUGCUGGCCUACUUUUCACUCAGGCCCAUCAGUGCCAAUUUAUGGAAAGGAAAUUAAAGACUAUAAGGCAGGCAGCUAUGUGAGGGAGUUUCCCCUUUCCUCAUCAAAGAAUGCUGAU